GCAACGGUGGCCAAGUGGUGAAGGCAUUUGCAUGCUGAGUGAGUCCUGCAAGGGGUGUGAGUUUGAAUCUCACCCCUUGCG
rfam:Coccomyxa subellipsoidea C-169, whole genome shotgun sequence.